AGAGAAUUGACCGAGUGGUUUAAGGUGGUAAGCUUGAGUCUUAUUUGAUUAUUAAUUAAUCACAUCCGUUCGAAUCGGAUAUUCUCUG
rnacentral:tRNA from 1 species